GGAAGACUGCCUAGCAAAGCUGAUGGAGUUAUUCUGAACUCUUGUUUUCGCCAUAACAAUUGGAAUCUCCCCCCUUCCUGGCGUGUUAAUCUGUUGCGGUCAAUCCCCUGGAGCGUCUGACACAGGUGAAAAGCACCUACAAAAGAAGUCCACAUUGAUCGGAGUUGCAUCCAAUGGAGAUCCUCCGAUACUUAAGUCAGUGGGGAGUGAUCGAACAGGAAGUAGAAUAUGAAAAUUGACAGAGUAUCAGUCCAAAAGUGUCUUACCAUCCCCGUUUCUUUACCUCUCUUUUAUAGACGAAUUAUUGAUAACCGUCUGUAACGGUUAGGCACAUGAAGUCCCACUUAUUCUGACAUUAUGUGAUCAUGGGGUCGGCAGUUAUGCCCAUUGAUAGUCGUGGUAUAUUGUUGUUACAUGCUUUCUGUGCUGGCCAUUUAUGACAUAUCGACUGUGUCGAUAAUCUUAGUGUGCCGACUGUAUGUCGGUGUCUUUGAUAUACCAAUCGACUGUUUGUCGGUAACUCUAAUAUUCCAACUGACCAUCAGCUAUGUGGUCAAUCAAAUUAUUAUGGUCACUUGAGAAGUCGAUCGAGAUAAGCUUACAGUUAGUCGGCUUACCGAUUGAUAGUCGGUUAUCCGUGUCUAUGGCACCGAUAGGACGUCGGGUGUCGAGACUUGCAGAAACUAUAGUUGAACCUGAGCUCAUCAAUCUGGCUAUAAUUGUCCAUUGUCAGCUGCCGACACAGAGUCGGGAUGACCAACUGUGAAUUGGGGGAGCAGAAUCAGGGGGGAGUAGGUUCAAUUGUCUCAACAACUCUGAAACCCAUAACAGAUUAAGUUUUGUACACCUCCUA
rnacentral:lncRNA from 1 species